GUGGGGAAUAUUGCACAAUGGGCGAAAGCCUGAUGCAGCGACGCCGCGUGAGCGAUGAAGUAUUUCGGUACGUAAAGCUCUAUCAGCAGGGAAGAUAAUGACGGUACCUGACUAAGAAGCACCGGCUAAAUACGUGCCAGCAGCCGCGGUAAUACGUAUGGUGCAAGCGUUAUCCGGAUUUACUGGGUGUAAAGGGAGCGUAGGCGGCGUGGUAAGUCAGAAGUGAAAGCCCGGGGCUCAACCCCGGGACUGCUUUUGAAACUAUCAUGCUAGAGUGUCGGAGAGGUAAGUGGAAUUCCUAGUGUAGCGGUGAAAUGCGUAGAUAUUAGGAGGAACACCAGUGGCGAAGGCGGCUUACUGGACGAUAACUGACGCUGAGGCUCGAAAGCGUGGGGAGCAAACAGGAUUAGAUACCCCUGUAGUCC
rnacentral:rRNA from 1 species